UACGGGGGGGGCAAGCGUUGUUCGGAAUUACUGGGCGUAAAGGGUUCGUAGGUGGCCAACUAAGUCAGACGUGAAAUCCCUCAGCUUAACUGGGGAACUGCGUCUGAGACUGGAUGGCUUGAGUGCAGGAGAGGAACGCGGAAUUCCAGGUGUAGCAGUGAAAUGCGUAGAUAUGCGGAGGAACACCGAUGGCGAAGGCAAUCCCCUGGGCCUGCACUGACGCUCAUGCACGAAAGCGUGGGGAGCAAACAGG
rnacentral:rRNA from 1 species